UACGAAGGGGGCUAGCGUUGCUCGGCAUCACUGGGCGUAAAGGGCGCGUAGGCGGUGCGGUAAGUCACCUGUGAAAUCUCCUGGCUCAACUGGGAGCUUGCAGGCGAAACUGCCGUGCUGGAGUGUGGGAGAGGUGAGUGGAAUUCCCGGUGUAGCGGUGAAAUGCGCAGAUAUCAGGAGGAACACCGGUGGCGAAGGCGGGUCUCUGGGCCGAUAUUGACGCUGAGGAGCGAAAGCGUGGGGAGCGAACAGG
rnacentral:rRNA from 1 species